rnacentral:lncRNA from 1 species
AACAUUCCUAAGAGUUUUCUCCAGUAGGAUGGGGACUAGGUAUGAGGUUACGCACAUGUGUUGAAUUUAGGAAUUAGAGCUUAUUAACCCUUUGUAAAGUAAGAUAUAAUAUAUAAAAGUAUCACACAUUUGAUAUGACGAAAAACUACCUUUAAAUACAGCAUCUUUUUUUUUGGGGGGGGGGCAUAAUUCCAGUGAGUGAACUCCCAAUUGUAUCAAAAG